rnacentral:lncRNA from 1 species
CGACCUCCAGACGACGUCGAAAAAAAAAAGGAGAGAAGGGAAAACAACAAUAACAAUGGUAAAUGAAAGAAGUUCGGCAGGCAGUAAUUCGAUGCAAAGUGUGGAUGAAGUAACGAAAUCUUCUUCUCAUUCUUGAUUAACAAAGGUGUACGUUACAAGGCCCUGGGGGCCGAGAAAAAAAAAAAACAUUACUACAAGACUCAAAAGGAA